rnacentral:rRNA from 1 species
GACGUAGGGCGCGAGCGUUGUCCGGAUUUAUUGGGCGUAAGGAGCUCGUAGGCGGCUUGUCGCGUCGUCCGUGAAAACUUGGGGCUCAACCCCAAGCUUGCGGUCGAUACGGGCAGGCUAGAGUUCGGUAGGGGAGACUGGAAUUCCUGGUGUAGCGGUGAAAUGCGCAGAUAUCAGGAGGAACACCGGUGGCGAAGGCGGGUCUCUGGGCCGAUACUGACGCUGAGGAGCGAAAGCGUGGGGAGCGAACAGG